rnacentral:misc_RNA from 1 species
AUUUGAGAUUCACUCUAUAGAUUUGAAUCACUAGAAUGGAAAAUUGAAUCCUAAGAUUCUAACAAGAGUGAUGUACUAAUUUGAAUGGAAAACAUUAUAAAUUUAGCUGAGGAAACCUUGUUGUUGGAAGUCUUUCCUUUAGUUAUAAAUUUACUGUACAUCAUUUGUUAACUGUUUAUAAGUUAUAAUUAUUUUUAUAUAUAUGAAUUUUAUUGUGGUUGUCAAAAUGCUGAGCAUUACAUGUGUAUUUGUCAUAGUCUUAAAUGCAUUACUGUAAUGAAAAGGGUUUUGUUUAGAAUUUAGUUAUGUUGUGACUUUUGGAUGGCAGAACGCCGG